AUGAUUAUAACAAAAAGAAGCGUAAAGCUUGUACAUAAUUUAAUACAACACAGAAAAGUCCCUGAUGUUCACCACCCAACAACAAUCUACUAUAAUGACUUUUAUUGCAAAUAUAAAAAAAUAAACAAACUGUGUGAUGUUGAAACAAAUAAAGAAAUAUGUUUAUUAAAAACUUACUUAUUCAGGAAAAAACAUAUUUAUUUAAACAAAAAAGAUAUAAAUAUUCUUCUGAACAAAGUAAUAAAAAAAAAAAUAAAAAAUGAAUAUAUAUGGAAUGAUAUACAAACUUUAGUUUUUAAAACUAAUAUAAAUUAUUUAUGUGAAACAAGUAAUUAUGACAAAACACAAUCUGACUUAAAUAAUAACAUGCAUAAUGAUGAACUAAAUAAAACUACUAAAAAAACGGAUAUUAAUACUGACAUAGACAAAAGAGAUGGAACAACCUUAACAUACAAUCAAAACCUUGAUAACAUAAAUGUAUAUUUAUAUGCUUUGGCAAGUCAAAUAUUGAAUAAAAGAGAUGCACAAAUUAUAAAUUUUUUUUUUUUUUAUUUAAAACAAAAUUUAAAUAAUAUAGACCCAAGACAUUUUGUUUAUAUUUUUUUUAUUAUUGUUAAAAAUACAUUUCGUGGAUUAAACAACAAUAAUCGAAAUAAUUAUUCGUGUGAGGAAAAAAGCUUAACUAGCACAUAUGAUCAACAUAAAACUGGAGUAUAUUGUAAACAAACAAAACUUAAGAACGCUGAAAAAAAUUUAAUAGAGUUACUAACUAACUACUGUUUGGAUAAUGUAAAUUUUUUCACUUUUAAUGAUAUUAGUAUUGUUUGUGAAUCUAUUUGUUAUUUUUCACAAAAACAUAACCCCUUUAUAGAAUAUUGGAAUGAUUUUCUUUUCUAUAUCUUUGAAAUAAAUAUUAACGAUAAACGUACAUAUGGAUUAAAUUUUAAUGGGACAAACAAUUUGUCUUCAUUUAAAAAAAAAAAUUAUGAACGUUCAGAAUUAUUUAUAAAAAAAAAAUAA
rnacentral:lncRNA from 1 species